rnacentral:rRNA from 1 species
CCCAGUGAUAUAUAUUUAACGGCCGCGGUACUCUGACCGUGCAAAGGUAGCAUAAUCAUUUGCCUUAUAAUUGAAGGCUAGUAUGAAUGGUUUGACGAAAACAAUACUGUCUCUCUCUAAUUUUAUAGAACUUGAUUUUUAGGUGAAGAAGCCUAAAUAAAAUUGAAAGACAAGAAGACCCUAUCGAGCUUAAAAAAAUUUUGUUAAAAUAAAAUGACUAUAAAAGAACAUCUGUACCAAAAAAUUUUAGUUGGGGCGACUAAGGAACAUACAAAGCUUCCAUCACAGUAAUAAAGGCUUUUUAGCUAUGAUCCAAAAUCUUUGA